rnacentral:tRNA from 1 species
UCAGUCGGUAGAGCAGGGGAUUGAAAAUCCCCGUGUCGGUGGUUCGAUUCCGCCUCGCGGCACCA